AAUUUUUUUUUAGAGUUCUAAUCGAAAAAAAAGGUUGCGACCUCGAUGUUGGAUUAAAAUUUAAUUUUGGUGUAGAAGCUAAAUUUUUGGGUCUGUUCGACCUUUAAAAUUUUACAUGAUCUGAGUUUAAACCGGCGUAAGCCAGGUUGGUUUCUAUCUUUAUAGAAUUUUAAUAUUUUAGUACGAAAGGACCAAGUAUUAGUUUAAUAAAUU
rnacentral:rRNA from 1 species